GACCUGGCUGGAAUGUGCUACAAGCAGCAUUUCAGCUACUUGCUAAAGAACUACCCACUCACCCCCAGUUCAAAGAAAAACUGAUACCACAAUUUGCUCUCCACUCCCAAAACCCUGUUCAUAGUCCCAUAUUUAAAUGGAUUAUUAAUAAAGACUCUAAGUCAGCCUAAGACAAGGGGCAAAGGACUCACCUAAUGCCUAACAUUUUACUUCUUUGGCCCUGGGCCACACCACCUUCUCAGGCAUGAAAUUGUUCAACUUGUGUUAAGUGUCCUCCAUAAAACACACUCAUUCCCCAGCGUCAGGAGAGGACAGGGUCAAUAAACACCCAUGGUCCAGGGGGUUUUGGCACAGGGGUCUUCUCAAAGUCUCCUGCAAAAAUUAGUCUAUAAAGGGUUAGAUAAUGUCUUUGAGGCCUUGGAUGUUACAGCAAAAACUGGUAUUUACCCCUCUGAAGUAAUAGGCUUUUGGGAUACCAAGGGCUACUGUGAUGGCCCUGGACCACUUCUCAGAGUAAUAGACAUGGUUUCUUUCUUUCUUUUUUUUUUUUUUGAUUUUUGGCCAGGGCUAGGUUUGAACCCACCACCGGCACCCUACUCCUUGAGCCACAGGCGCCGCCCUAGAUAUGGUUUCUUUUGGGAGUGACCAAGGUAAACGUGACAAUGGUCUUUAUCCAGAUUCCAUUCUUGAUAGGCUCGCCAGUGCUCCAUGAUGGAGGGAGUUAUGAACAGGGAAUAGAUGGACUCUCCAGGAUACCCAAGUACCAAGUACCAGGCUUAGGGAGCUAAGCCUGUGCAGGGUCCCUUUCCUCUUUAGCCAAAAGAAAGCCAGCUUGGCGCCUGUAGCUCAGUGAUGGGGCGAUGGCCACAUACAUCAGGACUGGAGGUGUGGAGAGCCGGCUGUGAGACUGGCAGGGCCCUCACAGCCUGGGGAACGUUCAUAGAAUAAACCCCUAAGUGCUUCUCCUCCACUCUCAAAAUAGCCAUAUUCCUUUCUUCAUGCUCCCUCUGCCAGAAGUCAUGUAGAGUGCCAUGGUAUCACAGCUCACAGCAACCUCCAACUCCUGGGCUCAAGCAAUUCUCUUGCCUCUGCCUCCCAAGUAGCUGGGACUACAGCCUGCCACAAUGCCGGGCUAUUCUUUUUUUUUUUUUUUUAGAGAGUCUCACUUUAUCAUCCUUGGUAGAGUGUCGUGGUGUCACAGCUCAAAGCAACCUCCAACUCCUGGGCUUAGGUGAUUCUCUUGCCUCAGCCUCCUGAGUAUCUGGGACUACAGGUGCCCACCACAACGCCCGGCUAUUUUUUUGUUGGAGUUUGGCCUGGGCUGGGUUUGAACCUGCCACCCUCGGUAUAUGGGGCCGGCACCUUACCCACUGAGCCACAGGCACUGCCCAAGGGCUAUUUUUUGUUGUUGUUGUUGCAGCCAUCAUUGUUGUUUGGCUGGCGGGCUGGAUUUGAACCAGCAAGCUCAGGUGUAUGUGGCUGGCACCUCAGCUGCUUAGGCACAGGCCCCGAGCCAAACAUUUUCCUAUUGUACUGUAAGACCAAAACUAUGUCUUCUGUUUAUGUUAUUUCCUCAUAUUGUCUCUGCUACCUCCCCUGGACAACCGUGUACAGAUACUAUAAAAUAAAGCUGAUUUUGUGCUUUGGUGCUGGCUGUAGCCAUCAGCUCAGUCAGUCCUCCUGGUUCCGUCCUUUGUUUCUGUGUCUUCUCUUGUGCUGUAUUUUCCUCAUUCCCCCUCGCCACGCUGGUUCGAGACAUGGUGGGUUCAAACCCGGGCCAGGCUUGCUAAACAAUAAUGACAACUACAACAACAAAAAAUAGCUGGGCGUUGUGGCGGGUGCCUGUAGUCCCAGCUACCUGAGAGGCUGAGGCAAGAGAAUUGCUUAAGCCCAAAAGUUGGAGGUUCUGUGAGCUGUGACACCAUAGCAGUCUACUCAGGGUGACAUAGCGAGACUGUCUCAAAAAAGGAAAAAAAAAAAAGAAAGAAAGCCCUAACUCUGAACACCUGAUCCCAAACAGUGGUAUUAGUACAGAUUGACAAAUAAGCAAGUUGAACAAAAUAUAGUCCAGAAAUAGACCCACAUCUUUUUUCUUUCUUGAGCCAGGUUUUACUUCAUCACCCUUGAUAGAGUGUAAUGGCAACACAGUUCACAGUAACCUCAAACUCUUGGGCAUAAGUGAUUCAUUUGCCUCACCCUCCUGAGUAGCUGGGACUACAGGUGCCUGCUAGAAGUGCUGGCUAUUUUUAGAGGCGGGGUCUCUCUCUGUUGCAGGAAGACGAGGCUCAACAGAGAGAAAUAGCACCCAAACACAUUUAUAAGGGCUUUAUUCACCAGCUGGGAGCUUACAGAAUAGAAGAAUUCCAAAUGGUUGUGCUCCCUGACUGGCUUGGUCUUUCCCUUUUUACCGACAAUCAAAAAGUUCCACCCCACACCUUCUCAUUGGCCAGUUUGAAUCAAGCGGGAGAUGCUACUCCAGCCCCUACAGAACUAUAGGAUUUCACAGAAUUUGGAAAUUUCCAAGUUCCAGGAAGUUAAGUUUACAAAUUCCCAAGAGCUGAGUCACCAUGGAGAGGACCCUGCAGGUGCAUCCUCGUGGUCUCCUUGAGAAAACCUGUUCUUCUAGACCUCACCCUUCUCAGGUAUCCUCUCUCAUCUCUAACUCAGGCUGGUCUUGAACUUGUGAACUCAAGCAAUCCACUGGCCUUGACCUCCCAGAGUGCUGGGAUUAUAGGGGUGAGCCACUGCACCCGGCCCUGACCCACAUCUUUGUAGGAAUUUAAUAUGUGUGUAUAUA